rnacentral:lncRNA from 1 species
UCAGUUUUAAUUUAACGUAAAUCCACAAGGAAAAUAGGCAUUCACUUUUAAUGAUAAAAUUGUAGGCCUUGCCCUCUGCUCCAGAGCAAAAACAAGAAUAGAGCAGAUGUAUAUUACAAUGGGAGGAGCCUCCUCGCCAGGGGAUGAUUCUAACAAGAAGGCUCAAGGACUCAUGAGGGGCCUCAUUUUGCUGCUGUUGAGGAAAGAAGGAACCUGUCCUUUCUGCUGUUAUGGCUUCACAUACAGGAACUGGAAAUGGGACUUUAUUGAAGACACCCUUUCAACACUGUCAUGUCUGGGACAGCAAGCACCUGGUACCGUAUCAAGGCCCUAUUGUGCAUCUUACACAAAGUGGAACAGCAGAUGAGCACUGUACCAAAAGGGGACACAAUCUGAAAGAUAAGGGGCUGAGACUACCUUUCCUGCCCUGGCUUAUGAGGCCCCGUGAGGGACAGCUGGACUGCCAACAGGAGCACUUCAACUAUGGACUGGGCCUGAUGCAGCAAGCACAUGCAGCACAGGGAUGGAGAAGAGGGCAAGCCCCCCCACCAAUGUGUGUGGCUCUGGUCCCACACCACGGCAGGCUGUCUAGAUCUGUGAAGCCCUGAACAACUAGCUUUUCACUUGUGUGGACCAGGAGCCCUCCCUAGAUGAGUAAGGCCAGAGGGAUUUAAAUGCCCAUGGUCUGGCACUGGGCCAUGGGUCUUUGGCCAUGGGCUCCUCUGACCCUGCUUCACAUCCACCACUGUCCACACCCUAGGCUACCUAGGCACUGUUCCCCUUUCCUCUUCCUCCUCUUACUAUCACAGUUUAUAUAGUAUCCUCAUAUAUGGCCUGACUCAUAAAGAGAAGUGUUGGGAGGAAUGGCCACAGGUCCUGCAGUUUGUGCCAGUGCAGUGGCCACUGUACUGGGCAGCCUGGUAUGAAAUCUAGAAAGGGUAAUGAGUCAUGUGAUAGGACUUGCUCUGGAACAGCCAUGGUCCCUGUGUGGGAAACUGUCACAGGACCUCUCUACACUGCCUCCUUUUCCAGCAAGGUACAUGCAGGUGACUCCUUGGGAACACCCCUGGUCCUGUUGGCUGGGGGGACAUGGGACUCAAAGGUCCAUGGGCUGCCAGCAGAAUGCAACCAAAUAUGAGUCACAAUGGGAUGUGGUGUUCAUUAUCGUACUCUAACUUAUAGCACUGAAGUCUGAUACUGCAUCCAUCCUGGGUUAUCUUAGAGUGGGAUCCAUUUUUUUUAGAGCACUUUGUGUUCCCUGACUUGCAUGGUUACUGGUCAAUAAAUGUAACAACUGCACCUGGCUCA